rnacentral:rRNA from 1 species
UACGAAGGGGGCUAGCGUUGCUCGGAAUCACUGGGCGUAAAGGGUGCGUAGGCGGGUCUUUAAGUCAGAGGUGAAAUCCUGGAGCUCAACUCCAGAACUGCCUUUGAUACUGAGGAUCUUGAGUUCGGGAGAGGUGAGUGGAACUGCGAGUGUAGAGGUGAAAUUCGUAGAUAUUCGCAAGAACACCAGUGGCGAAGGCGGCCAACUGGUCCGGUACUGACGCUGAGGUGCGAAAGCGUGGGGAGCAAACAGG